GGCGGCGUGCUUAACACAUGCAAGUCGAGCGGAAAGGCCCUUCGGGGUACUCGAGCGGCGAACGGGUGAGUAACACGUGAGCAACCUGCCCUAGGCUUUGGGAUAACCCCGGGAAACCGGGGCUAAUACCGAAUAUGACCUGGCCUCGCAUGAGGCUUGGUGGAAAGUUUUUCGGCCUGGGAUGGGCUCGCGGCCUAUCAGCUUGUUGGUGGGGUGAUGGCCUACCAAGGCGACGACGGGUAGCCGGCCUGAGAGGGCGACCGGCCACACUGGGACUGAGACACGGCCCAGACUCCUACGGGAGGCAGCAGUGGGGAAUAUUGCACAAUGGGCAGAAGCCUGAUGCAGCGACGCCGCGUGAGGGAUGACGGCCUUCGGGUUGUAAACCUCUUUCAGCAGGGACGAAGCGUAAGUGACGGUACCUGCAGAAGAAGCGCCGGCCAACUACGUGCCAGCAGCCGCGGUAAGACGUAGGGCGCGAGCGUUGUCCGGAUUUAUUGGGCGUAAAGAGCUCGUAGGCGGCUUGUCGCGUCGACUGUGAAAACCCGCAGCUCAACUGCGGGCCUGCAGUCGAUACGGGCAGGCUAGAGUUCGGUAGGGGAGACUGGAAUUCCUGGUGUAGCGGUGAAAUGCGCAGAUAUCAGGAGGAACACCGGUGGCGAAGGCGGGUCUCUGGGCCGAUACUGACGCUGAGGAGCGAAAGCGUGGGGAGCGAACAGGAUUAGAUACCCUGGUAGUCCACGCUGUAAACGUUGGGCGCUAGGUGUGGGGGGCCUCUCCGGUUCCCUGUGCCGCAGCUAACGCAUUAAGCGCCCCGCCUGGGGAGUACGGCCGC
rnacentral:rRNA from 1 species